UGAGAGAGAAGAUGGCAAUCCAGACGAGGGAAAGGAGGAACUCGAUGACUGCCCAAUGCACCUUCCCCUGCAUCCCAGGUCUCCGCACGUCCGGCAAAGUGCAGUACAUAGCGGAGCACAGUGGGUAGGUGAAGAUGUACC
rnacentral:rRNA from 14 species